rfam:Galdieria sulphuraria unplaced genomic scaffold scaf_24, whole genome shotgun sequence.
GCUAGGUUGGCCGAGUGGUCUAAGGCGGUAGACUUAAGAUCUACUGGGGCUACGCUCCGCGAGGGUUCGAACCCCUCACCUAGCA